rnacentral:tRNA from 1 species
UCCAUUGUAGUCUAGCUGGUUAGGAUACUCGGCUCUCACCCGAGAGACCCGGGUUUGAGUCCCAACGGAA